AUCAAUUAGCACCCGUGUGUUGUUUUUAACACUCAUCAUCAGAACAGAGAGUGGCCCAGUGAUGAAUUCCUCUUCCUCAUUCUUCC